rnacentral:rRNA from 1 species
UACGGGGGGGGGCAAGCGUUGUUCGGAAUUACUGGGCGUAAAGGGCGCGUAGGCGGUUCGCUAAGUUGGAUGUGAAAACUCUGGGCUUAACCCAGAGCCUGCAUCCAAAACUGGCAAACUGGAGUACUGGAGGGGAAAGCGGAAUUCCUGGUGUAGCGGUGAAAUGCGUAGAUAUCAGGAGGAACACCGGUGGCGAAGGCGGCUUUCUGGACGAGUAACAUGACGCUGGAGGCGAGCGAAAGACUAGGGGAGCAAACAGG